rnacentral:tRNA from 1 species
GCCUGGGUGGCUCAGUCGGUUGAGCGUCCGACUUCAGCUCAGGUCACAGUCUCGCAGUCCGUGAGUUCGAGCCCCACGUUGGGCU